rnacentral:misc_RNA from 1 species
UACGAAGGGGACUAGCGUUGUUCGGAAUUACUGGGCGUAAAGCGCACGUAGGCGGAUUACUAAGUCAGGGGUGAAAUCCCGGGGCUCAACCUCGGAACCGCCUUUGAUACUGACAAUCUCGAGUCCGGGAGAGGUGGGUGGAAUUCCUAGUGUAGAGGUGAAAUUCGUAGAUAUUAGGAAGAACACCGGUGGCGAAGGCGGCCCACUGGCUCGGUACUGACGCUGAGGUGCGAAAGCGUGGGUAGCAAACAGG